UAUGAAGGGUAAGGCAAGAGUUGUGCUACAGUAGUAGUUGGGAAUAAGAAUGUGGAAGAGGGUUUUGCUUCUUCUUCUGUUGUUUUCCAGUGAUUUAGCUAUAGUAUGACGAUAAAUUUUGAGGCAAGGACUCAUUCCUGGAAUUAUAGUAGCUGUUUUCUAAAAGAAAUCUUUGUUUCUAUUUUGAGUUUUUCUCUUAUUGGGAGUAAAAAGCUCAAAGGCAGGAAAGGGAAAGAGGUUUCUAAAGCAGAAGUGAUGUAACUGAUGCUGUCUCAAGAUUUGUCACUGCAAAAGAGAAGAGAAUCCUGGAGACCCGGCAAAGGUGGUGGCUGGUGACUUCCCCUGUGUCUGAACACCAGUAGAGGUGGGGCUGAUUGGGGCUGCCAAAAGCCUGGCCCACGUAUCUGCGUGGUUUUGUGCUGCCAAGAGUCAUAGCCUAACCUACACAAGUACAGACAGGACUAUGAUGUGGUUCUACCAGCAGUUCUCUUGGGAACUCUUUGGCUGCUUUCCCAAUUUAGCUGUUACAUUGAUGAUUCAUUUAAAGAGACACAAACACCCUGUUCUCAGGAGUGCCUCUGGAGAUGCUCCCCUGAAGACAUGUCCAAUGGCUUCAUCACUUGUGGGUGCAUCAGAUUUAUUACAGAAAAUGAAAAGAACAGAGAAACAGCGGUGUUUGUUCAGCUGUGAGAACGCAGAGUACACCAGAGCUGCCGAGAAAAGGAAAAUGUAAAGGAUGUUUCAACUCAUAGUCACAGAUGUGUUUGUGACUGAAAUAUCAUGGUAAAAAAAAGGUAAGGAUAGCUCAGAUUUAACCAAAGGAAUAAUUGAGUAGCCAAAUUUCUAAAUAAUCUUUUCUUUCAAGGAUCUUUUUGGGGGUUUUGUGGGGUUUUGUUUGGGCUCUUUUUCCCCACAUGAAACCACCUUUGUCAGUGUCAACUCUUUGGACACACUAAUAUCUAACUUUACUGAUUUGAAAUCUUUGAGAGAGAGUUUUUAUUGGGCUUUUUCUUCUUUGGACCACUGUGCUCAAAAAGAUGUAGAUUCAGGAUCUUCAAACCCUCUGCCUGCCUGUCAGUCAAAUUUUCUUUAUCAGAUAAUGAGGGAACUGGCAACAUAAAUCAGUUCUGUAUUUAGGCUAAACCCUGAAAUAGUAACAUCAGUGAUUUACUGUGAUUUAUCUGUGAUAGUGGUCAGUCUGAUCUGGGGUGAUAAACAUUCUUCACUACAGACCACAGGCAGAAAUCCAGGUGAUGAUAGGGCUGUCCUCAGGUUACACGAUUAAAAGCUCUUCACUCUCUUGGGAAAGGGAAAAGAUAGUUAUGUGUGAACAGAUUGUUACACUCAGGCUUCACACACACAAAAAGAUAUUAUUACCCCACUACUGACAUUUGCAAUUGGUGAAAAACACUUUCUAAAAAUCUGUAUGAUCAUUUUGUUCCCUCUCAAAGAUGUUGCAGACCCAUUUUGUCAGAUUAUGCUCUUAAGAGAGUCCAGACAGGGCAGGACUCUCUCCUGACCAAAUGACUACUGCAAAGCAAGAUUGUUCCAGUGAGUGCCUGCACAAAGAGCUUGUCUGCUCAGUGAGGGCUUCAGCCAGUACCCUCCAGUCUCUCAUCUCAGAGGCAAUCACAGCAUAAGAAGAGCAAGCAGCUGGUUCUGCAUUGUCAUCCAAGCAAUGUGGCUGGGAGUACUGCUGUGCCAGUCUUGCACAAAGUCCCAAAACAGAAUGUUAAUAAGUGGAACAGCAGACUAUGGCGACAGCUAGAAAAUCAGCAUGAUGUGGGGAAAAGUGCUUUUGGUAAAAAAAAGCAUGCUAUACAGCUUUUCUAUCUUUGUUCUUACUCUCUGAAAACUGUAAAAGCCUUCCAAAACACAAGUGUUUUAUUUACUUGGCCUUGAGAUGGUGUGUACAUAAACAUAACAACAUUCAAGUUGCCACAGCUCUCCUCAGUGGUGUGCUUCCCAGCUUCCUGAUCCACAGGAUCCCUGAAUCUCUGAUGUGGACCCUCAUCUACUAGAGUUUGGACUGGUGUUGUCAUAUUUUGACAGUGUCCAGAGGAUCCAACAGGAGGCCAGUCACAAUGUCCUGAGUGUAGUGUAGAUUCUGGGUUCAGAGUGAAGAAAUUGUUCAGCAGGGGUUGCCUUCAACAGGAUCCAUAGGCUAAAAACCAACAGUAAACACACCUCCUGUACUUAUCCAAGUGAGGAAAAAAGCAAGCAAAAGGUGCUUAUGUUUAACCAUUUCUAAAAUGGAGCUUGGGCAGGGAGAGACAAGUCUGUAAAGUGCUGAGUGAAACCACUUCAGUGGGGGACCUAACUGAGACAAUAUAAGAAGCAGUAAUUAACUCAGGACAUGGAAUCUCUUUCAUGCAGUAAUUGUUGCCAAGACCUUUCUUGCUGUAGUUUGUUUAGUGUCAAGAAGCUGUUUGAAAUCUACUGGCUCUUGUAGGUGUUUGUUGUCAGACAUAAGUAUAAAAGUGCAAACCCAUUUACUAUUGAAGUCCUGGAAGCACUUGCAUUGCAAAAUGCAGUCUAUUAUGUUAGGAAAGCAUUGAGGGGUUUUGGUUUGUCCCAGUGCCCCCAUUCCAUAUGAACUGAUUGUGAAGUACAGAACAUUUGGAACUGAAUGAGCAAAAUGUAGAACUCAGAACUGUAGAUAAUUUAUGGUUCUGAAAAGGAAAUUAAAUGGUAGAAGUGACUCAUUAAUAUCAAGUCUUUUUAAUGAGAGUUUAAUGAAAAUGGGCAUGUCCUCAAUGUAGCAUAGAGAGGAAAGCCCUUCAGGCUGUAUCUUAAUGACUUUCUUAGACUGCAUGCAUUUAAAACUUAAGGUUUCAGAUAAUUCUAUGCCAUAAGCAGGAUUUACUCUGUCUUUGACAGCUUCCUAAAUGUUCAUGAAGUUGAGGCAAGAUCUAAAAAAUGUUCAAGCUUAAACGGAGCAUCAUGUAAUGUCCUCUGCUGCUCGUGUUGUGCCACAUUUGUGUCCUCUGUUGCAUCCCAAGUUUUACCCAACUUUUACAUUGUGGCUUUUUUUAUUGAGCCGAAAAAAUAAAAUUUGGCAAUGCCAGAAAUGAGGAUCCUUUCUGUAGUUCAUUGCCUUUGUGCAAAGAGCUUGUCUUUUAAUCCUCGCUGUAGAACAGGACUUGACCUGAGUGAAUGUAAACCAUUUAAGCUGAGGGAAAUUUUCUUUUAAUCCUUUUCCAGCUCUCAGCCUGACUACUUAAAAUGUCCUUGUGGUUCUGCUGCAGAAUUCUUUAUUCUGCCCUAAAGAAUUGUUUAUUCUCUAACAGACAAAUACUUUCAAUAACAUAAAGACAUUUAAGACAGAUUGUUCUAUAGCACUCAGUCAUAUCAGAAAAUCUUAACAAUAAAUGAUAUGUCAUUUUUUUUUUCCCAGAUACACAGAUGUUUUUCAGGCUCUAUAGCAGGAAAUAAAGAAAAAAAAAAAAACAACCUAUUUUCUCUUUACAGCUAAAGCAGUAGUCCAAUUUGGAUCAGGAGAAGAAAUUAAUCUAGAAUCAAAUAUCCCUGCAGCCAUCUGUCUUGUCAAAGAAAGCACAAAUUUCUGCUGUCAUGAUCACAACAGAACAUUCAAAGAGGCUUUUCCCUCCAAACCAAAUCCAUUUUCAAGUAACACUCAAGAUCUAAAUUUUUGUGACAUAGUUUUUACAGGUUAAAAUACCAAAAUUUCUUCGUACUGCAACAUUUUCAACUGUUUUCAAUUUUUUCCUCAGUCUUGUGUAGCUUCAGCUGCUUCUUGUGCCCAUGGUUGAGCAGAGCUAGUCAUUAACACCAGUGAAAAAGCUCUGCAGAUCAAGGCUCAGCCAUGGGAAAGGCUCCCUGUGUUAGCUGGAGACACCCCUGGUAUUCUGGUUCAGAGCUUCCCGUGCUUUACCAUCAAGUUUUUCAAUGAUCUGUUUCAUUCCUGUGCCCCAAAUGAAAAAAUUCUAUGGCUGCUAUGUCAUCUGUUUCAUAGGGGUUCCACUUCUGAACAUCCAGCAAUCUAUAGCCUGUGACUGGUGCUGCCAAGCUGCCCCGUACUCCAUCUUAUCAGUCAAUCCCCUCUGAGGAUCCUCAGUUUCUUUCACUUUGCCCAUCUUUUAUUUAAAAAAAAAAGGGUUAAUGUUUUUCAGGUGUAUAUGCACUUUAUGUACCUUUUGAUACUGAGCAUGGAAAACUCUUCAUUUAAUGCUCCUAGACAAUAAUUCCAGGUAAUAAACAGUGAACUAAGACCUAUACAUAGUCUUUCUCAGCUGUGAGAACAUCAGCUGUUACUGAUUUUGUCACAUUCCUUCGAUGGCAUCUUUCAGUUUUACCCCCAGUCUCUCAGUCCAUCUGACACACAGAUCACAAGGACCCAGCUUCACUAUGGCACGUGGGAUCUUCUUUUGACAGAUUAUUUCACAUGGUCAACAAAGCCCAUCAUCCAUUAACAAGACAAAAAUGUCAUUUUCAGAGCUACUUUGUAAAAAACAUUGGGGCAUGCCAGCAUCCAUCAAAUACAAUUUACAAAAUAUUCUCCUUGCAGAUUAAUGAAUUGCUUCGUAGGCUGUCAAGAAUGCUAGAUAACAAAAUAUCAUCAAGUGAGCAUUCUGUACAAUAAAUACAACUAUUUACAAGCAUCAAUAGCAUUGCAAAAAAUAAUAAGCCUGGAUUUCCUCUUUUGCAUGUCUUGGAGAGGAAGGUCUCCUGCUGCUCUCUGAAUCAGUCAACAUCUGGGCUCUCCAGAGAGCCCUACACAUGAAGUUCAGCAACAUCAACUUGCAAACUGGCAAGCCUUUUCACUACACUGCAUCUACUGCCAUAUUUUCCUUCUGUUUCAUUUUGGGUUUUUUUUUUAAUAUCAAACCUUUGAUUACACUAUCCAAGGGUAUUUUAUACUACAUCUUAUAUUGUUAUGUAUGAUCAUUUUAAACCAAAUGUAAAAUGCUGUUGCUCUUGAUUGAGAUGUUUGCUAUUUGGCAAAGAAAUUGAUGCAGCUUUUAACAUUACUGGAAAUGUUUGUUUUGUGUUUCCAAUGGGAAAGUUUUAUGCCAUUUUGAAUGGGAUAUUUCUUUGUAAUAUCGAUCCGUCAAAACUAUCAAAGAGCUUUCAAGUUGUAAACAGAUCUGACCUUGAGUGUCUGUACAAGUCCACAGAUGCAACUCUAGCAGAGUCUCUUGAGAGACAGUGAAGUCUCUAGCCUUAAAAAUUUUCAGAAUUCAGCAUUAAAAAUCCUGAACCACCUGGUCUAACUUUGAAGUUAGCUCUGCUUUGAGUAGGAGGUUGGACUAGUGAUCUUCCAAGGUUUCUCCCAACUUCUAUUUUUCCCUGUCAUUUUAUAACACCUACUCUUCUUCAGCCUCUCAGAUCAGUUCAUGUUUGUUUCUAUCCCCUUAGAACAGUGAGUGUCCUUUAGUCAUAACUGUUUUUCAAGACUCUUUGUAUUUACCCUGUA